GUAUGAAGCUGCUUCCUGCUCAUCCGGAGCUGUGGGCCUGCCUGCUGGUUCUGUGUGUCUCACAACGUGGUGAGACGGAAGCCGAUGAUCCAGAUGUCUGUGAUGUAGAAAGCAGGGAUCCGGGAAACAUUGAACCAAAGUUUUCUUCGGGGAAGGAAAAUGUCGAGAUGGCUGAAGUGAACGAUAACUUUCGCUGCCUGUUUCACCCAACAAAUGUACUCAACUGCUCGUGGUCAUUCCACACUUUACACGAGGACGCUCAGCUCUUUGUCCAUAUCAGAAUCUGCGACGGCGAUGGCGAGGUUAACCAUACGGACCUUUCGUCUGAGGAGAGAGUCGGAUCCUUGUCUUUCACUCUGCACCACAAUGAGAUGUUGUACGUGAUCCUCCACUUUAACAUAACCCUGCAUGGCAAUUGGACGGUCUACGCCUCAGAAUACAGCAUGGACUUUCUUGAGGUUCUGCCGCCACCCCAAAAUAUCACCGCCUCGUUUAGAGAUGGAAGCCUGUUGGUGACGUGGGAUCUGCCCCAACGUCGCACAGUCUGUAAUGACGACUGCCUUCAAUACCAGCUGGACCUGGGGGACCAGGAAAGUCCCAAAGAGGUGCACGGGACGCUGUCCUACACAGAGACCAAUGCAGACCCCACCUACAACUACAGCGUGAGGCUGAGGACAAGGAAGACCAUCGACUGCCAAGAAUCGUCCCACUGGAGCGUCUGGAGCGACCCCAUAAAGGUGGAACCGUUGGUUUACAGACUCAACACGCUGGUGAUCUUCUCGAUUUCGCUCGGAAUACCCAUGAUCCUCCUGGCCGGGCUGCUGCUGCUACGCCAUCAGAGUAACGCCCACGUGUCCAAUAGCCAAACAGGGUAAAAACACAAGCUGAAAG
ensembl:lncRNA